rfam:Hordeum vulgare subsp. vulgare, WGS project CAJW01000000 data, contig: morex_contig_91423
UUUAUACUCCCUCCGUCCGAAAUUAUUUGCCGCACAAAUUGAUAAAAAUGGAUGUAUCUAGAACUAAAAUACAUCUAGAAACAUCCAUUCUAAUGACAGGUAUUUCCGGACGGAGUGAGUAUCAU